rnacentral:rRNA from 1 species
UACGAGUGGUGCAAGCGUUACCCGGAAUUACUGGGUGUAAAGAGUUCGUAGGUGGAUAUGUAAGUCAGAUAUGAAAGACCGGAGCUCAACUCCGUGUUUGUAUUUGAAACUAUAUGUCUAGAAUUAGGGAGAGGUAAGCGGAAUUCUAAGUGUAGGGGUGCAAUCCGUAGAUACUUAGAAGAACACCAAAAGCGAAGGCAGCUUACUGGAACUAUAUUGACACUGAGGAACGAAAGCGUGGGGAGCGAAAAGG